GGAAGGACUUUUGGCACAAAUUGGCUGUCUUCUGGAGGAAGAACUAAUGCCCCUGGUUAAAUCUUUGGGGAGUACAGUAGAUGUUCCUGGGCUUAAUUUGCAUAAAAGUUUAGAAGCAAUUAAAACCUCCCUCGCUGGUACUGUUCUGGGAACCGUAAGUGGUUCAGACGGAUUAGUUGGUUCUUUACUGGGAGGCCUAAGAGUAGAAGGAAUUCUAGGUUAAUGUGAUAUAGGUGCUGUCCUUCGUUGGAUUGUGUGGACACACUGAUCUAUUGCUUGAAAUGAAUUACUCUACAUUUUCUUAAUAUCAUCACAAAUUCUGCUUUUACUUACUAAUCAAUUUACCAUAAAUAAAAUGAUUUGCUGAUUUCAUUCAUAUAUGUCUACUUUUUAAUAAAUGAUCUCUUAAGCAU